UCGGAUUUGGAUUAUCCAUAUUUACUAUUUAUUAUCCAAACUUAGUACAUCAUAACAGCGGCACUAUAGUUUGUAAAAAACAUAACAGUGGCACUAUAGUUUGUGGCCGUAUCUUGAGAAAAAUCCCGAGUACGCAUGAAACAAAAAAUCAAGGGAAACAUGCAUUUUUAGUAAACUUGAACGGAAUAAAAUCCAGUAUUUCUUCUUGGGAGCAGCAUCAUCAGUUCACCAUUCCACCAUCUUUGCAUUAGUAUCAUCAAUUCAUUAUCCUACCAUCUUUCCAUCAACAUCAGUGCAUCACC
rnacentral:lncRNA from 1 species